UCAGAGCCUUAAAAUGAGUGCAGCAAAUUUCCAAAAACAAAAAAGAGAGAGAGAAGAGAUAAUAACAUGCAGUGCUUCGUCAGCUAGGAAAUCAUCCUGGUUCUCUUCACUUCACAACCCUGACCUGCGUCAGAAAAAUGCUUUUCUUCCUAUUAUUGAUUUGAUAGUCUGACGAAAAUAUAUUUUGCUGGAAAGUGCCUCUGUUUGGACCAAAGAAGAUUUUUCUAUUCAUAUAAUGUAGCAAGUUCAGUAAUUUCACUAAGUAUCAGAAAUGACAGCGUGAGCACCGGGAACAAAGCAUUAUAAGGCAUGGUAUCAGAGGCCGUAUGCGGUUAGCUUAUUGGAACUGGACCCCGAUCCCUGCACCAGGGCCACACUCAGCACCAGUGGUGGUCCCAGGGGAAUGGGUCCCCUGUGGAUCUGCCCCGGAUGGUAGAAGACUUUCCUGAUGACCCAGCUAAUCUGCUUUCCAGUCAUCCUUAAGGCUCUGGGUCAGAAGGCAGGUGUGUCAGUGGAGUCUCCAGGCUGAGGACCCCUCUCUUGUGAUCAUUCCAUGCAAGUGUCAGCCCU